UUCCCUCAUAGUGGUGCGAUGUGACAGAUGUAGCUGGUCAUGGCCAUGAAGAAGGGAAGGGAAGCUGGGAAGGGGGGAAAGAGGGGAAGGGGGAAAGAGAAGAAGGGAGGGGAGGAAGGAGGGAGGGAGGAAACUGGCAGGCAGGCAGGCAGCCUCUAGAAGCUGGAAAAGGCAAGAAAAUACCUCCCUGGAGCCUCCAAAAGGGAAUGCAUCCCCACUGACACCUCAACUUUAGCCCUGUGAGGUCCAUUUCAGAAUUCUGAACUCCAGAACUUAAUCAGGAUACUCUCCUUUGAUGAAUCUUAAUGCCUUAACUAUGGAACACCGCCCCAGAUCAUCAUGGGUGUUUAUCUAAAAAUCAGUGCAACUGGGAAGUAUUAAGCCUCGAGGGCUAGAACUAUCAGAUUCUUCACAUCAGAAAUAUUUAGAAUAAAGGUAAACCCAGCAUAUGUUAGAGCUAGUUUAGAAGAUUCCAGCGUAUGUGUAAUAAAGAAAUAGCAGCCAGUGAGACACAAACACAUCAGUCAGAUGUCCCUAUGGGACACCACAUGGUGUAGGCCUCCAAAGUGAGGGGGUGAAGUGGUCUCCCCAGCCUUUGCAUUUGGUAUCAAUCUGCAUACACAAAUCAAUGUUAUAAGAUUUAUUCCACAAACAUUUAUUACAAGCCUACUACGUGUCAAUGCUAUGCUAAUUGUUAUUUCUUUUUUUAAUGAAGAUUCUUUUGCUUUCUGGGGCACAUUCCUUUAGUGCAGGGUGAUUAAAGUUGCAGGUUAAAUUAAUAUUAGUAAUGAGCUAAUCUUACCCUUGGGAGCUUGUCCAGCUGGGCCCAAGGUAAUCACAAGGCCCUUAAAAGUGAAAAAGGGAAUCCAAAGAGAAAACCAGAGAGAAGGCAGCAUGAGAAGAAUUAAGCUCAAUGUCACUGGCUUUGCAGAUGUAUGAACGGGGCACAGAGAAGGAAUAAGUGCAGCUUCUAGAAGCUGACAGGGGCAAGAGGACUGAUUGUCCCUUGGAGCCUGCAGAAAGAACAUAGCCAUUCCAACAUCUUAAUUUUAGCCCAUCGAGACCCAUUUUGGACUUCUGACCUCCAAAAGUAUAUUAUUUAAAUUAAAAUUAUCGAAGUCAUCCAAAAGUCUCUGAAGUAUUUCUGUGAGUUCACUCUCCCAACAAUGAGCUAUAACUGAAAAAUGAUGCCAUUCCUGGAAUUCAGAAAAAUAUGAUCUUCAUGAAUCAUUGGAAGUUUCCAGUGGCAAUAGAAAUUCUGAACCGAAGACACAUAACUUAGAACAUCUGUCAGUGAAUGAUGACUUCCCUCACAACUAUGCAGCAGCAUCCAUGAUCAAUUGUGCAUGAGCUGAGUCAAGGUGGAGCUCAGCCAAGACCUUCACCCCACAAGAACAGUGAGGGUGGGACCGACUGCUGACACUGCGCUGAGGCACAGCCAAAGUGCGUGAAUCACAAUGAGGCUGCAGUCACCGCAGUCACAAUUAGUCAGCAGUGGAGUGGUGCAGCCUUCUGGAAAUCUGCAACUGGCUUGAAAGCAAUAGUGCAAGGAGAUAUGUGAACUCUUCAUCCCUUUUGUUUCUUAAGAAAAAGGAUAAAUUUGUAAAAUGUAAAGGGCCCACAAAACGUAGUAGAAAAGAAAUUGACUUUAGAGUCAUCUGACCUGGGAUUAUAUUAAAGGUCUACAUCUUACUGAGAAAUUACCUAGCCUCUCUGAACCUCAUUUUACCCUCCUGCUACCUAGUCUUUAGUUGUUGCGAAGAAUAGACAUAAUUUACUUAUGUAAGGACCCAUUGGGCCAUCAAUAACUGUGUGUACUGGGGAAGCAAACUGGAGAUGGAAUAAUAGAUUCUUUUGUCAUCAAUCUCUUUGUUCACCUGACAAUAUCUUGUUGGAAGUCUCCUGGUUCUUUGCAUGCCUUAAAGACAGCAUUCUAGUUACUAGAAUAAAUUCACUAGUUCUUAGGAGGUUUCUAUGCUCCAGUUGUGACUAUGUGUGAGAACUUCUCUGUAGGAGGUAUCCUAUGUCUUCACAAAGACUCUGUAGGCAGCUUUCUCUACGUAGACAUUUAAAUCUUGUAUGUAGUAUAACCAAUCAGUUUGGUAAAGGACCUUUGAAAUAAUGUGACAUCUACUUUAUUGUGGUAUCAGAACAGAAUUGAAGUCCAUUGAGUCAUUUUGUCCAUCUGCAUGCAUUCUUUCAAAUAGUGCACGUCACUGGGUUAUCUUGCUGUGCAGAGCAUGUUGACCCAGUAUCUCAACUCUGGGCUUAAAAGUAUGAUAUUCAGUUUCAUCAGUGAAAAUAGCAGAGUAGGUAUCUCUCAGGGCCCAUCCCUCCACAGGAACACCAAAAUAUCAGAAAAAAAUUGUCAUAAUCAAUUUUGUUAGAACUCUGGAAAAUAGUCAAAGAAUUAUAGGAACAAAGCAAAUGCUGAACCAAGAAAAAAAUAACUUAAAAAUGGUAGGAAAGCCUUAGGGCGUUUUUACUGGCUCUUGACCCAGUCCUCCCCUGGUGUGGUGUCAGUCUGGAAGAUUGAAGCUCACAUUCCCAAAGUGGGUCCUUGAUCCCUGGGGACUUUACUCUCAAAGAGUUGUGUUUGUCUGUUCUAACCUGCCUGAGGGCUACCUGAAUAACUGAUGCAAGGCAUUUGCCUUUCUUUCACCUAACUAGGAACUUAAACAGGGUGAAAAAGCAGUGAACAUUCUUUGAAGAGAUUAUAAGGUAAAUGAAUAAUCCAUAUGUUUCUGGAGCAAAAGAUUACAGUUGAGACAAAUAAUAGAUUAACUGAAAAUCUGUGAGGAAAAUCUGGGUAAAGAAUUUCUUGGUGAAAUGAUGGCAUUGAAACGUAUCUGUGUACCCUGAGGAAUUUAGAAAGCAUGCUUAUACCUGCACAGAGAGCACAUACGCUCAGAAAAGUCCUAAAAAGACUCUAAGCUUUCACUUGCGCCUUAUCUCUAGACAUAACACAAGCAGAAAGUGAAGACCAAGGCUGAGUUGUUAACAGCCUGGCCAACCGCUGAUGGAGGGCUUGAAAACACAGCCAUAUCACAAAGACUAAGAUUCUUCUCUUCCUUUUCCCGCUUUUUAUUCUUACUCUUUUUAUCUUCCUAUUAUUUUCUUUCUUACUCUCUCUUUCCUCUUUCCUUCCUUCCACUCUUCUUUCCUUUCUUUCUUUCUUUCUUUUCCUGGUAUUCAAGGAAAUAUCAAAACAUUGGCUCAAUAUAAGCUAAAGGAACAGAAACUUCAGAGACCACGUAUGAUAAAGAAUACAGACAGACCUUACAAAAAUAGUUUAGAAAAGUCACUACACAAACAUACAGCCCACAGCAAGCAAAAUAACAAACCCUUAAGAAAAGGAAGGAUCUGAUUUCCAGAGUUACCACAUCAUAGUAUUUGCAAUGUCUAGUUUUCCACAAAAAAAUAAGUAGCAGGCCAAAGAACAAGAAAAUGUCUCAUUUACAGAAAAAAUGAGAAACUGUUCCUGAGAAAGCAGACAUUGGACUU
rnacentral:lncRNA from 1 species